GACUUCCAACAGGAGUUAAGAAGCCACACUAGCAAGGAUGGAGGAAUGGGGGCUCACAGCCUUAUCUAAUCUCCAAAUGAAGAAUGGGCCCAUCUGACAUAUCCUAUGAGCACAAAGCUUAGGGGACUCUUCACCGAAACCUAGACAAAUAUUUGAAUGCAUUUUUUUUUUUUUUUUUUGGAAAGGGAGAUAACGUCCAAUGGGUCUGUUUUAUAAUGCAUUUGUGUAAGGGGAACGGGAGGAAAUGAGAUUUAAAAAUAAAACU
rnacentral:lncRNA from 10 species